AAUACCCGAUAGGUCUCGAUUGCUGGAAUGCAUCGAGAUUUAAAGCUCCGGCGCCUAAGGAUGGGUCUGCGGCCUAUCAGGUAGUAGUGGGUGUAGCGUACCUACUAGCCUACGACGGGUACGGGUUGUGAGAGCAAGAGCCCGGAGAUGGAUUCUGAGACACGAAUCCAGGCCCUACGGGGUGCAGCAGGCGCGAAAACUUUACAAUGCUGGCAACAGCGAUAAGGGAACCUCGAGUGCCAGGUUACAAAUCUGGCUGUCGAGAUGCCUAAAAAGCAUUUCAUAGCAAGGGCCGGGCAAGACCGGUGCCAGCCGCCGCGGUAACACCGGCGGCUCGAGUGGUAACCGUUAUUAUUGGGUCUAAAGGGUCUGUAGCCGGCCGGAUAAGUCUCUUGAGAAAUCUGGCAGCUUAACUGUCAGGCUUUCAGGAGAUACUGUCUGGCUCGAGGCCGGGAGAGGUGAGAGGUACUUCAGGGGUAGGGGUGAAAUCUUGUAAUCCUUGAAGGACCACCAGUGGCGAAGGCGUCUCACCAGAACGGACCUGACGGCAAGGGACGAAAGCUAGGGGCACGAACCGGAUUAGAUACCCGGGUAGUCCUAGCCGUAAACGAUACUCGCUAGGUGUCGGCCACGGUGCGACCGUUGUCGGUGCCGUAGGGAAGCCGUGAAGCGAGCCACCUGGGAAGUACGGCCGCAAGGCUGAAACUUAAAGGAAUUGGCGGGGGAGCACCACAACGGGUGGAGC
rnacentral:rRNA from 1 species